rnacentral:lncRNA from 1 species
UAAAUGGAAAACUGACAGGUAUGGCCUUUAACUUGUCAACUUGAGAAGAAGGCUUCUUAUGAAAAUGUUAAAGCUGCAGUCAAGUAUGCACUAUAAAACGGGUCGGUUUCAAGCAACAUAUGAUAUCAAUGACAUAAACAAAGGAGCUGUGCUGAUAUUUAUUUAGCGAUGAAGCUUAAAAUUAGACAAUGUAUGCAUUAAAAGCACCAUGACACAGAUCUGUGUACUUUAUAAUAUAUGUUUGCAUAACUUUAA